CCCAGCUGAACGUAAUUGCUAUCAGCAGCGGACAGCUCCUGGUGCUGAAAGAGAAAGGGCCAGAGCUUUGCUCACAAUGGCUCACUCAACAGCCUUUAAAAAUCACAGCAAAACUGAAUGAGGUGGCAAGUGCUCUGGCUGAAUAGCACUGUCUGCAGAACAAUGGCAGCCAACCCCAAAUCCUACUAUAAUCACAUUAAUGAGAUUAAUCAGUGAAUUAGCAGCAGUCAAACGUCAGGGAGGCAAGGAAGAAUCCAACCAAGUGGACCUGCUCUCAUGAAGGACCUCUCCACGGCCAUGUUGCAGCGGGCUGUGCGGGUGCAGCCCACCCCGCCCCCACCCCGGCGGACGCGUGGCUGCACGGAGGCUGUAGCAGCCUGCCUCAGGCUUCCACCUUGGCUCCCAGGGGGACAUCCUGCAAAAUGAAUCAGCAGCCGUCCUGAGCAGGCUGAUUAAAAUGAAAAUGGCAAGGCACAUGUCUGGGCGGAACUGGAGCUCAGCUCUGCUGCCUGUCUGGCAAGCAUGCUCAAUAUAGCUCUUGCUAAUAAUGGC